AGUGAACGCUGGCGGUAGGCCUAACACAUGCAAGUCGAACGGCAGCACAGAGGAGCUUGCUCCUUGGGUGGCGAGUGGCGGACGGGUGAGGAAUACAUCGGAAUCUACCUUUUCGUGGGGGAUAACGUAGGGAAACUUACGCUAAUACCGCAUACGACCUUCGGGUGAAAGUGGGGGAUCGCAAGACCUCACGCGGAUAGAUGAGCCGAUGUCGGAUUAGCUAGUUGGCGGGGUAAAAGCCCACCAAGGCGACGAUCCGUAGCUGGUCUGAGAGGAUGAUCAGCCACACUGGAACUGAGACACGGUCCAGACUCCUACGGGAGGCAGCAGUGGGGAAUAUUGGACAAUGGGCGCAAGCCUGACCCAGCCAUGCCGCGUGUGUGAAGAAGGCCUUCGGGUUGUAAAGCACUUUCAGUGGUGAAGAAAAGCUUGGGGCCAAUACCCCCGAGUUUUGACGUUAACCACAGAAGAAGCACCGGCUAACUCCGUGCCAGCAGCCGCCGUAACAC
rnacentral:rRNA from 1 species